rnacentral:lncRNA from 1 species
GAGUCUAGGAUGUUGAAGAGAGCUGGGAGGAGAUGCCAAGAACACUAGGCUGCUUCCUACCAUCUAGCUUACAGUCCAACAUGUGAGUAACACCAAUACAAAUGAAAAGCCAUCAAAUGUGUCCAAUAGUGAAUAUCAUCCCGGCAGUCUCUGAGCUAGGAGGGAGAGUCCUGGAGAGGUGUUUAUUUUCUGAUAUAAAAAAGUCACAAAAUUGAAACUACUGAGCUUUUCACCUGUAAAGUUGCUAUUCUGGCAUAGUCUACAGAUUAAACAUUAAACACUCAACUACAUAGCAAGAAUCUGGAGCUAUUGUUUGGGCUGUCCAUGGAGAUGUCUUUGCCAACUGUGUCCAGUUGUGGCAGCUGACAUUAUCUCUACGGUAGAAUUCAACCACACGGGAGAAUUACUAGCGACAGGGGACAAGGGGGGUCGGGUUGUAAUAUUUCAACGAGAGCAGGAGAGUAAAAAUCAGGUUCAUCGUAGGGGUGAAUACAAUGUUUACAGCACAUUCCAGAGCCAUGAACCCGAGUUCGAUUACCUGAAG